UACUGAUGACACUUCUAGUCGCAUGGUGGUAGGGGCAGUGGGUGACUGGGCACCUGGAGAACAGAAAAGCCAUGAACCGAUGGGAAGAUGGGUGCAAAUGGGACACGUCUGGGGCAGAAGUAAGUGGAUGAAUAGGGAAGAGAGGAGGAGUUCAGUUUUGGAUAUAGGAAGUUUGAGAUGCCUAGUAGCUAUCCAAAUGGGGAGACCAAUAAGUGACUAGAUAGUUUGGAGCUGGCUGUAGAUAUAAAUCUGAAAGUUAGUGAUGUCGUUUGAAAGCCAUGAGAUUAGGUGAGCUCACUGAGGAAUAGAGAAAAAGAGGACCACCCCCGAAUCCAGGCUGUCUGACAUGAAAACUCAGGGAGGAGAAGAGAAACUGACAAAAACAGAUUGAAAAAGAGGGAUCAGUGUUGUAGGAGGAAGAUCUCAGAGAAGAGACAGGGACCAACUUUGUCAGAUGGGCUGCUGUGUCAAAACCGCAUGGACGCUGAAUGGACGGCUGACGUCAGCAACAUAAAGAUUCGAAGCCAGGGUUGAGUCCUCCUAACAGGGCGAGUUCUCUGACAAGGAAGUUUUGCAAGCAAAUUUACAGCUGGAGUCAAGCUCGUCAGUGAGGGCCAGAGGGGAACUGUCGCAAUCCACUGGGUGUUUGAAAAAUGCCUCUAACGUGUGUGGGCUAGAAUACAUUUUGUUUUUCUGUGGGCAUAUUCAUUUAACAAGGGCAGCCUUUGAGGAACGAUCAAAAACUGUUUGUCAUUUUUCCAAAUCAUCUCUCUCUGCGGUGACCAUGACUUAAUCCUGAAGGAAAACAAGUCUUUUCCCUUCUGGUCUCUGCGCUCUUGAAGGACAUUUGGGCCUGAAGUCCCAGGACUUAAGGCUGAUCCCGGCACAGAUGAGGACAGGAAGAGGUGGUAAAGAAAAUAAGCUUACAAAUAUAGCCUACGAAACCACGCAUGAGUAAAUAAAGAACUAGGAGACGCCACUGCAGAGGAGAGGACGAGAAGCACCUGAGGGCAGAGGUGGGAAUGGGUGCAGAAGGGACUCUGACACAAUCGGAGAAGCUCCCACAAGCAUGGUGCCUGAUGCCUGACACAGCAAAGUGUAUCUGCUCUAUUGCAAACGUCUUUACCUUUUUCAGAUGAGAGUUCCAUUAUUUCACAAUGACAAAUUUUACUUUGUUUUUCUGUAUCAUGGUGACAUAAGGUCAUGUUCCCAGGGUUGUGGGAUCGAGCCCCGCAUCAGGCUCCUCGCUGAGUGUCGAGUCUGCUUAAGAUUCUGUCUCUCUCUCCCUCUGCCUUUCCCCAACUCGAGUGUAUGCUCUCUCUUUCUCUCUGUCUCAAAAAAAAAAUAGUAUUUGAGGCUGGAGUUUCCUUACCUGUGAAGUAAGGCAGAUCAACCAAUUCAUCCAGAAGAGCAUCCCUUUCAAAGUUUAGACACUACAAAGACUUCAAAUAGCAUCCUCUGUUUCUACAUUUACUGGCCUUCUGUUAAGACAACAUGUCCUACAAACCACAGUCCAGAAGCCAGGCAUUGCAGCUUGGCAUCAGCUCAGCCUACGAGAGAAAAAUUCCAUCUCAUUUUAUUUAUUUUUAAAUGUUUGUUUAAUGUGAGAGAGAGAGAGAGAGAGAGAGCAGGGGAGGAGCAGAGAGAGGGGGAGAGAGAGAAUCCCAAGCAGGCUCCGCACUGUC